GAGUUUGAUCGUGGCUCAGAUUGAACGCUGGCGGCAGGCCUAACACAUGCAAGUCGGGCGGUAGAGAGAAGCUUGCUUCUCUUGAGAGCGGCGGACGGGUGAGUAAUGCCUAGGAAUCUGCCUGGUAGUGGGGGAUAACGCUCGGAAACGGACGCUAAUACCGCAUACGUCCUACGGGAGAAAGCAGGGGACCUUCGGGCCUUGCGCUAUCAGAUGAGCCUAGGUCGGAUUAGCUAGUUGGUGAGGUAAUGGCUCACCAAGGCGACGAUCCGUAACUGGUCUGAGAGGAUGAUCAGUCACACUGGAACUGAGACACGGUCCAGACUCCUACGGGAGGCAGGCAGUGGGGAAUAUUGGACAAUGGGCGAAAGCCUGAUCCAGCCAUGCCGCGUGUGUGAAGAAGGUCUUCGGACUGUAAAGCACUUUAAGUUGGGAGGAAGGGCAGGUAAAUUAAUACUUUGCUGUUUUGACGUUACCGACAGAAUAAGCACCGGCUAACUCUGUGCCAGCAGCCG
rnacentral:rRNA from 1 species